CCUACGGGUGGCAGCAGUGGGGAAUAUUGGGCAAUGGACGCAAGCCUGACCCAGCAACGCCGCGUGAAGGAUGAAGGCCCUCGGGUUGUAAACUUCUUUUAUCAAGGACGAAACAAAUGACGGUACUCGAUGAGUAAGCCACGGCUAACUACGUGCCAGCAGCCGCGGUAAUACGUAGGUGGCAAGCGUUAUCCGGAUUUACUGGGUGUAAAGGGUGCGUAGGCGGUUCUGCAAGUCAGAUGUGUAAUCCAGGGGCUCAACCCCUGGCCUGCCGGUGAAACUGUUAUACUUGAGUGCUGGAGGGGUAGGCGGAAUUCCGAGUGUAGCGGUGGAAUGCGUAGAUAUUAGGAGGAACACCAGUGGCGAAGGCGGCUUGCUGGACAGUAACUGACGCUGAGGCGCGAAAGCGUGGGGAGCAAACAGGAUUAGAUACCCUAGUAGUC
rnacentral:rRNA from 1 species